rnacentral:ncRNA from 2 species
GCUAAUGAUCGUGGCGACGGUGCCUCGGAGACGAGGUGAAAAGGGAACGCGGUGCGAUACCGCGGCUGCCCCCGCAACUGUAAGCGGCGCGUCCUGUGCCAUCGGCCACUGGGUUUCCCCGGGAAGGCGGAGCAGGACAUCAAGCCGCGAGCCAGGAGACCUGCCGUCUUUCGAUGUCGUCC